rnacentral:rRNA from 1 species
AACGCGAAGAACCUUACCAAGGCUUGACAUCCCCUUGACAGGUACAGAGAUGUACCAUCAUUUUCGAAUGCAAGGGAGACAGGUGGUGCAUGGUUGUCGUCAGCUCGUGUCGUGAGAUGUUGGGUUAAGUCCCGCAACGAGCGCAACCCUUAUCCUUAGUUGCCAGCAAGUUAAGUUGGGCACUCUAGGGAGACUGCCGGUGAUAAACCGGAGGAAGGUGGGGAUGACGUCAAAUCAUCAUGCCCCUUAUGUCUUGGGCUACACACGUGCUACAAUGGUCGGUACAACGGGAAGCGAAGGAGCGAUCCGGAGCAAAUCCCAAUAAACCGAUCCCAGUUCGGAUUGCAGGCUGCAACUCGCCUGCAUGAAGUCGGAGUUGCUAGUAAUCGCGAAUCAGAACGUCGCGGUGAAUGCGUUCCCGGGUCUUGUACACACCG